GACAGAGGGUGCGAACGUUGUUCGGAAUUACUGGGCGUAAAGCGCGUGUAGGCGGUCGUGCAAGUCGGGUGUGAAAGCCCUGGGCUCAACCCAGGAGGUGCAUUCGAUACUGCUCGACUGGAGUCCCGGAGAGGAUGGUGGAACUCUCGGUGUAGAGGUGAAAUUCGUAGAUAUCGAGAAGAACACCGGUGGCGAAGGCGGCCAUCUGGACGGUGACUGACGCUGAGACGCGAAAGCGUGGGGAGCAAACAGG
rnacentral:rRNA from 1 species